UGGGGAAUAUUGCACAAGGGGGGAAACCCUGAUGCAGCGACGCCGCGUGAGCGAAGAAGGCUCUCGAGUUGUAAAGCUCUGUCCUAAGAGAAGAUAAUGACGGUAUCAUAGGAGUAAGCCCUGGCCAACUACGUGCCAGCAGCCGCGGUAAUACGCAGGUGGCAAGCGUUGUCCGGAAGUAUUGGGCGUAAAGCGCGCGCAGGUGGUUUAGAAAGUCUGAUGUGAAAGCCCACGGCUCAACCGUGGAGGGUCAUUGGAAACUGAUAAACUUGAGUGCAGGAGAGGAAGGUGGAAUUCCUAGUGUAGCGGUGAAAUGCGUAGAGAUUAGGAGGAACACCGGUGGCGAAGGCAGCUUUUUGGCCUGCGACUGACACUGAGGCGCGAAAGCGUGGGGAGCAAACAGG
rnacentral:rRNA from 1 species